AUGAACAGGGGGCACCAGGUAGAUUCGUGUUAUCAGCCGAGACCGACGAUUUCUUCUUGGAAGCAAUCUACCAGGAGCAGCUACGUACUACAUUGCAGGAAUCGGCCACGUACGUACGUGAUGCGGCACUACACGCGCCACGCCGGGGGAGGCAGGGGUUGCCGGCGGCGGGGCGGCGUCCUCUGCCGGGGCGCCGUCGGCCUGGCGGCCGGCUCCGUGGCGGGGGCGAACACCUCGUCCCAGAUCUCCGCGAAGGCCCGGAGGAUGGCGUCGUGGUGCCGCGGCGCGUUCAGCGCCAGGAAGCGCCGGAGCAGCUCGCGCAGCUCGUCCCCCGUCACGAUCCCGUUCUCCACGAUCAUGUUCACCAUCGACCGCCGGAAGUCGCCCAGCGGGUCCUCCGACUGCUUCACCACCGCCACGCUCCCGUCCAGCCUCCCGCUGCCGCCGCCGCCGCCGAAGCCGUUGCCGUUGCCGUUGCUGUCGCAGCUCAUCGCUUUCCGGUGCUUCGGCGCCGGCGGCGGUGUCGGCGAGCGCUUCUCGUCUUCUUUGCUCUUGGAUUUAUUAUUGUCCUCCUCGGCCUUGGCGCUCCGGACCGGCUCCAGCGGCGGCGGCGGGGGCAGCGGUCGCGGUGGCUGUGGCGUGAAGUGCGCGUCGCCUUCUUGCCUGCUGGCUUUGUCAACGCUCUUCACCCUCCGAUGCUGCUGCGUUGGGACCUGCACGGACGGCGGCGGGAGCGGGCGCGGCCGCGGCGGCGAGAAGUCCCCGUGGCCCUCUUGGAUGCUGGGCUUGUCGUCGCUGCGCACAGCUCGACGCUGCACGGGCCGCGACGGCAACGGCGGGGGCGGCGGUGGAGGAGGAGGGGGCGGCGGCGGUGGCGAGAAGUGUUUUCUUGGGGGGCUCUUGGUCCGCGCGCACGACUUGAUGCUCCGCUCGAGCUCGCUGAGCUCGCGCAGCAGGCCGGAGAAGCUGGGCGUGGUCGCGGAGCUCGCCCGCUUGCACUCGACCUCGUCGGCGUCGGCGUCGGCGUCCUCCCAGAGGAAGGAGGAGGAGGCGGAGGGCACGGUGAGCGUGCCGGUGGACGUGGACACCGACGGGUGCGUCCUGCUGGCCCUCCGCGACGUGGCCGUGGUCGCCGUGGACGCCUCCGUGCCGGAGCGCGGCGACGAGGCGGCCACCGCGACCGCCACGGCCUUGGGGUCCUUGCAGCCGCAGCCGAGCGCGAAGCCGACGCCGCCGAACCGCUUCCUCGCCGCGACGCCGUGGCUCAUCCCUGUCGCUCCCGGUCACUCGCAGCUUCCCACAGUGAUCUUGGACGGUGGCCGGCCGGCCUUAUAUCGCAGAGGCGCAGGCAGCUCACAGUGGCAUAUGGUGGCUCGCUCCCCUCGCUCCCGACCCCCGAGUUACGAAGUUAUGAAGCCAGCGACGAAGAAGCUACCGAGCUCAGCUGCGUCGCAUGUAGUAGAGUACAUGUAG
rnacentral:rRNA from 1 species